UACCAUGAGAUUUAACAGUUAAUCCCCACCUCAACAAGCUAUUCUUGGGCAGAUGGCAACUUGGCACAGAAACCAUGCCAUAUUCGUUGCUUAUUAAGCUAAAUAUUUGGACCUUUUAAAUACCCACAAAAAUUAAUUUAUUCAUAAAAACAAUAAAACUAAAACCAACACAACAACAACAAGAAGAAUCAGAGAGUUCAAACUUUUUCUGAUAACCAAUUCCUCUCCGAAUUGAAAAAGGUUUUAUAAAGCAUAUAGCAUCAUGAGAUUCAAAAGCGGAAGCAGCGUGGAAGUAUUGAGCAAAAAGGAGAUGCCUUCAGGCUCCUGGUGCUGUGCCAAGAUAAUCUGUGGUAACGGCCACAACUACACUGUUAGAUAUGAUGGAUUUGAGGGUGCCUCUGAUAAGGCCGCUGUCGAGAGGGUACCCAGAAAUGCAAUUAGGCCUUGCCCUCCUCCACUGGAAGUGUCAGAGAAUUGGGUUCCUGGUGAUCUCGUCGAGGUUUUUGACAACUUUUCUUGGAAAAUGGCAACAAUUUCAAAGGUUUUUGGAAAGCAGUACUUUUUAGUCAGGCUACUUGGAUCCUCCCAAGAAUUUAAGGUCGGAAAAUUUGAAAUCCGAGUCAGACAGUUUUGGCGAGAUGACAAAUGGGUUGUGAUUGGAAAGGGUUUGAACAAUUAUGAGUAUGGAAAGCGUGGUGAAACUUUAACUCUAAAGUACAACCAAAGUUCUUGUCUCAAAGCUCAGAAGAAUGAAACGCACGUUGCCUCCUCUCAUAAUCUGAAGAGAAGAUCACCCUACUUGUAUUCCCAAGAUGUAGCAUAUGAUGGAUCUGCUGAGAAGUUUAGAGCUGUUGAAAGAGAGGGCAAGCGUCUCCGAGUAAUUUCUGCUAAUUUAUGCACAUUUUCUGAACAGGUAGAUGUUGCGUUACCAAGACAUAUGCAGGGUGGAAAAGAAAUACAUGCUUCUCUUAACAACAGAACAACUGUAUUUUCUGAUGUGGAUAUGGAAAGAAGGAAACCAAGUGGUGACGUUGGGUGUUUCUUUGCUGUUAACUUAAGGUUGAAUGAUGCUGAUAGUGUGACAUGCUCUGUUGGUAGUUGUAGUAUCGGUAGCAAUGAUUCCUAUAAGUCACCUCCUCCUGUUUCUGCUAGUUCUACUGAAGAUUUUGAUGAUCAGUUAUCUGAUGCUGAAUCUAUUUGUCAAUUGGGAUAUGAGGAAGGAAACUCUCUCCUUCCUGCAAAGGAAGAAUUGGCGGCUGAGAUCCAUAGGUUAGAGUUGCAUGCCUACCGUUGCACGAUAGGGGCAUUACAUGCGUCAGGACCUUUAAGUUGGGAACAAGAAGAAUUGGGCCGAACUAGGAGGCUUGUCGCCUUUCUUUCAAGUCUCCAAAGAUGAUCUUGGGGCUUGCCAGCUUUCUCUCGGUCUAGACGCGAGGGUAAUUAUUAUAGGACAGCUUCUGAUUCUUCUUUUCUCAUUAACAUAUCUGGUCUCUUCAUUCUUCCAUGUCAGGCCACCUGUGAGCCUUGGAUAACUGUUUUGCUGAAGGAUGUAAGACAAGAAUCUUGUGGCUGACACAGGAUGACCUGAGAUGUGGAUGCUUUAAAGGCGGGGAAGGUUAUAAGUUUAUGAAGCCUAGUCAAGGGUCUUUCAAUUUUAAAAGUAAAGUUCAAAAUAUUGUAAUUUUCCAUAAGCAUGGGCAGUCAAUCUAUUUUCAAGCUUAAAGUUUCCAUCAAACAGGAAUGAAUUUGUCAACUCUCUGGGUGUAAGCAGUAAGAAGAUAUCAAUGUCCUGAUUAUAGGCCUCUGGACUGCCCUACAGCUCUUGAAUUCUUUGUGAUGAUUGCAGUAUUUAUAGCAUAUCACAAACUUUUUGCUUGCUCCUGGUUGACACAGAUUGUCAGCCAUAUUCUUUUACUGCAAGUUUUGAACUGAGGUAGGCAGGAGAGGGCUAUACUGAACACAGAACACUGAAGGAAACAUUACUCAUUUCUCCGUUAAUACAACAUUAAACUCUCACUGAUCUCAAAUUAGUUUGUUUUUGUCCUUAUUAAUUUUCCAUGGAAAAAUAGUACUGGAUUUGGAUGUCCUUUAGGUGGAAAUAUUAUUUGUUUCUGUCCAUCCUUGCAAGUCGUUUCAUUUCUCUAUCUCACUUGUGUUUGUGAGGCUUCAAAUUUUUAUCUAAGCAGGCCUGAGUUCGAUUUUUUGUUUAUGGUUCCUGCAGCAGAUGCUUUGUACGUGAAAUAUAUAUUAGCUUGGUUUGAAUACCAUAAAGCUGUGACUGGUGUCCACCGCCCAUCAAAUUUUUGAAUUUGAUGCAAUUAUUCCAAGGAUCUUGAGCAUGUGAUGAUGACAUCAUAUCCCUUGGAGUUGCUCUUAGCAACUCAAAAUGAUUCUGCUAAUCUGUGCUCAGUUUGUACUUUCACCCCCUGCCAUUGUUUGGUCUCUCAACUUAACAUGUCCUGUCGUUAAUUUGUUUUUAUCACCAGAGAAGAGAAGCUGAUGUAGCUACUGUUCAUGAGGAGGUUGCUUGUACUUUAUUUGUAUAUCUUGUGAAGAUUUUCAGAGCAUGCGAAAGGACAACGAAGAUUUUCA